rnacentral:rRNA from 1 species
ACAGGGAUUGCCCUAGUAACGGCGAGUGAAGCGGCAACAGCUCAAAUUUGAAAUCUGGCGUCUUUGGCGUCCGAGUUGUAAUUUGCAGAGGGCGCUUUGGCAUUGGCAGCGGUCCAAGUUCCUUGGAACAGGACGUCACAGAGGGUGAGAAUCCCGUACGUGGUCGCUAGCCUUUACCGUGUAAAGCCCCUUCGACGAGUCGAGUUGUUUGGGAAUGCAGCUCUAAAUGGGAGGUAAAUUUCUUCUAAAGCUAAAUACUGGCCAGAGACCGAUAGCGCACAAGUAGAGUGAUCGAAAGAUGAAAAGCACUUUGGAAAGAGAGUUAAAAAGCACGUGAAAUUGUUGAAAGGGAAGCGCUUGCAGCCAGACUUGCCUGUAGUUGCUCAUCCAGGUUUCUACCUGGUGCACUCUUCUAUAGGCAGGCCAGCAUCAGUUUGGGCGGUUGGAUAAAGGUCUCUGUCAUGUACCUCUCUUCGGGGAGAACUUAUAGGGGAGACGACAUGCAACCAGCCUGGACUGAGGUCCGCGCAUCUGCUAGGAUGCUGGCGUAAUGGCUGUAAGCGGCCCGUCUUGAAACACGGACCAAGGAGUCUAACAUCUAUGCGAGUGUUUGGGUGUCAAGCCCGAGCGCGUAAUGAAAGUGAACGGAGGUGGGAACCUUUCGGGGUGCACCAUCGACCGAUCCUGAUGUCUUCGGAUGGAUUUGAGUAAGAGCAUAGCUGUUGGGACCCGAAAGAUGGUGAACUAUGCUUGAAUAGGGUGAAGCCAGAGGAAACUCUGGUGGAGGCUCGCAGCGGUUCUGACGUGCAAAUCGAUCGUCAAAUUUGGGCAUAGGGGCGAAAGACUAAUCGAACUAUCUAGUAGCUGGUUC